rnacentral:rRNA from 1 species
GUCCAAACGUUAUUCGGAAUUACUGGGCUUAAAGGGUGCGUAGGCGGUGCUGUAAGUUGGGUGUGAAAUCCCUCGGCUCAACCGAGGAAUUGCGCCCAAUACUGCAGUACUAGAGGGAGACAGAGGUGAGCGGAACUUGUGGUGGAGCGGUGAAAUGCGUUGAUAUCACAAGGAACACCUGUGGCGAAAGCGGCUCACUGGGUCUUUUCUGACGCUGAGGCACGAAAGCUGGGGGAGCGAACGGGAUUAGAUACCCCGGUAGUCCCAGCUGUAAACGUUGAGCACUAGACCGGAGGACCCCCCAUAGUUUUCCGGUCGUAGCGAAAGUGUUAAGUGCUCCGUCUGGGGAGUAUAGUCGCAAGGCUGAAACUCAAAGGAAUUGACGGGGGCUCACACAAGCGGUGGAGGAUGUGGCUUAAUUCGAGGCUACGCGUAGAACCUUAUCCUAGAUUUGGCAUGCACGGAUGGGCCGCCUGAAAGGGAUGGUUCCUGCCUUCGGGUGAAACGUGCACAGGUGCUGCAUGGCUGUCGUCAGCUCGUGUCGUGAGAUGUCGGGUUAAGUCCCUUAACGAGCGAAACCCUUGUCACUAGUUGCCAGCGAGUCAUGUCGGGGACUCUAGUGAGACUGCCGGUGUUAAACCGGAGGAAGGUGGGGAUGACGUCAAGUCCUCAUGGCCUUUAUGUCUAGGGCUGCACACGUCCUACAAUGGCGCAUACAAAGGGAAGCGAACCUGCGAGGGCAAGCAAAUCCCAAAAAGUGCGCCUCAGUUCGGAUUGCAGGCUGCAACUCGCCUGCAUGAAGCCGGAAUCGCUAGUA